rnacentral:rRNA from 1 species
UACGUAGGGUGCAAGCGUUGUCCGGAAUUAUUGGGCGUAAAGAGCUCGUAGGCGGUUUGUCGCGUCUGCUGUGAAAACCCGAGGCUCAACCUCGGGCCUGCAGUGGGUACGAGCAGACUAGAGUGCGGUAGGGGAGAUUGGAAUUCCUGGUGUAGCGGUGGAAUGCGCAGAUAUCAGGAGGAACACCGGUGGCGAAGGCGGUUCUCUGGGCAUGUCCUGACGCUGAGGAGCGAAAGUGUGGGGAGCGAACAGG